GAUGAAGAACGUAGCGAAAUGCGAUAAGUAAUGUGAAUUGCAGAAUUCAGUGAAUCAUCGAAUCUUUGAACGCACCUUGCACCCUUUGGCAUUCCGAAGGGUAUGCUCGUUUGAGUGUCAUUGUACUCUCACACUCUCUGAUCCUUUGGAUUCAGGGAGCGGUGGACUUGGGUGUUUGCUGCUUUCCUUGUGGCUCACCUGUAAUGUGUUAGUGCACCUCUUGGUUGGACAUAGAACGGCGUGAUAAGUGUCUUCGCCGGCACCUCGCAAGAGGGUGGCCAAUUGGGAGCUCUGUGCUUUCAAACCGUCUUCGGACAAUCUCUGACAACUUGACCUCAAAUCGAGUAGGACUACCCGCUGAACUUAAGCAUAUCAAUAAGCGGAGGA
rnacentral:misc_RNA from 1 species